CGUAAAAACCCUAUUUGUAAACAACCAGUCCUUUAACUCAGCGCUACGUCAUAAACACGGCGCGCUUGGAAGACCACGAUGUCAUCUUCCUUCUGUCAGGAGGAUCCAAGUGAAGCUACAGGAGUUUCAUUAACGUCAAUAACUUGGACCGAACAGUUUGUUUUGCUUGAUGAAGAGCAGGAAGGGCAGCCUGGAGAGAAAGAGAAGCCGGGUUGAGCCCACUACCAUCAUCCCCGUACCAUGAGGAAGAUGAGGGAGAGAAAUGAUCCUACCAUUAAAGAGACUGUGAAAAGAACGUUGAGAACAUCACCACUCUACAGGAAGACACAGUCCAGUAAUGGGUGUCAGAAUUUCAGUAGUGAACGACAGGUACUGUGGAAAAAUGUGUGUCAUUGUUGUACAAUGUCCUUUGACUCUGUUUACACAAGGUUAACACAAAAAGGUUUGAUUGUAAACUGAUAUUGGUAUGAAUUCAUGUUAUUCUCCUCUUCACAAGAAACAAACAAUCCAAAUUACCUGCAGAACACCCUUGAUGGACGCUUCAGCUGCAUCGUCAGACUGGCCAGACAGCAAGAUGCCAACUUUAAUGCCAAUUUAUUUGUGUAACAUUCUGUGACCAAAUGUAUAGAUAACUUUUUGUAGAUUGUAAAAAAGAUAACCCAUUUAUUAAAUAAAAACUACACUAGAAUUA